AACGCUGGCGGCGUGCCUAAUACAUGCAAGUCGAACGGUCUUUCUAUGGAAGCUUGCUCCACUGAGAAGAUAGUGGCGAACGGGUGAGUAACACGUGGGUAACCUGCCCAUAAGAGGGGGAUAACAUCCGGAAACGGGUGCUAAUACCGCAUAGUUUUCUUGAUUGCAUGAUUGAGAAAGGAAAGACGGCCUUUGUGCUGUCGCUUAUGGAUGGACCCGCGGCGUAUUAGUUAGUUGGUGAGGUAACGGCUCACCAAGACGAUGAUACGUAGCCGACCUGAGAGGGUGAUCGGCCACAUUGGGACUGAGACACGGCCCAAACUCCUACGGGAGGCAGCAGUGGGGAAUAUUGCACAAUGGGGGAAACCCUGAUUGCAGCGACGCCGCGUGAGUGAAGAAGUAUUUCGGUAUGUAAAGCUCUAUCAGCAGGGAAGAAAAUGACGGUACCUGACUAAGAAGCCCCGGCUAACUACGUGCCAGCCGCCGC
rnacentral:rRNA from 1 species